UGAGGAAUAUUGGUCAAUGGGCGAGAGCCUGAACCAGCCAAGUAGCGUGCAGGAUGACGGCCCUAUGGGUUGUAAACUGCUUUUAUGCGGGGAUAAAGUGCGGCACGUGUGCCGUUUUGCAUGUACCGCAUGAAUAAGGACCGGCUAAUUCCGUG
rnacentral:rRNA from 1 species